AGAGUUUGAUCCUGGCUCAGGACGAACGCUUGCGGCGUGCCUAAUGUAUGCAAGUCGAGCGGGGUGCCUCCUUCGGGAGGUUACCUAGCGGCGAACGGUUGAGUAACACGUAGGCAACCUGCCCCAGAGUUGGGGAUAACUCGGGGAAACUCGGGCUAAUACCGAAUGUGGCGGGAGGAGGCAUCUCUUCCUUGCUAAAGGAGCAAUCCGCUCUGGGAGGGGCCUGCGGCCUAUCAGCUUGUUGGUGAGGUAACGGCUCACCAAGGCGACGACGGGUAGCUGGUCUGAGAGGAUGAUCAGCCAGACAGGGACUGAGACACGGCCCUGACUCCUUUGGGGGGCAGCAAUGAGGGAUAUUGCACAAUGGGGGAAACCCUGAUGCAGCGACGCCGCGUGGGCGAUGAAGGCCUUCGGGUCGUAAAGCCCUUUUCUCGGGGAAGAUGAUGACGGUACCCGAGGAAGAAGCCCCGGCUAACUCCGUGCCAGCAGCCGCGGUAAUACGGAGGGGGCGAGCGUUGUCCGGAUUUACUGGGCGUAAAGCGCGUGUAGGCGGCGACUUAAGUCCGUGGUGAAAGGCGGGGGCUCAACCCCCGAGCGCCCGCGGAAACUGGGCCGCUUGAGUGUCGGAGAGGGGAGUGGAAUUCUCGGUGUAGCGGUGAAAUGCGUAGAGAUCGAGAGGAACACCCGUGGCGAAGGCGGCUCCCUGGCCGAACACUGACGCUGAGACGCGAAAGCGCGGGGAGCGAACGGGAUUAGAUACCCCCGUAGUCC
rnacentral:rRNA from 1 species